rnacentral:rRNA from 1 species
GAUGAACGCUAGCGGGAGGCCUAACACAUGCAAGUCGAACGGGAUUGGGAGCUUGCUCCCAUGAGAGUGGCGCACGGGUGAGUAACGCGUAUGCAACCUACCUUUAACUGAGGGAUAGCCCAUAGAAAUGUGGAUUAAUACCUCAUAGUUCUUUUCGUCCGCAUGGACAGAUAGAUAAAGCUCCGGCGGUUAAAGAUGGGCAUGCGUGACAUUAGCUAGUUGGUAAGGUAACGGCUUACCAAGGCUACGAUGUCUAGGGGUUCUGAGAGGAUGAUCCCCCACACUGGUACUGAGACACGGACCAGACUCCUACGGGAGGCAGCAGUGAGGAAUAUUGGUCAAUGGGCGCAAGCCUGAACCAGCCAUCCCGCGUGAAGGAUGAAGGCCCUAUGGGUCGUAAACUUCUUUUAUACACCAAGAAAAACACCCACGUGUGGGUGCCCGACGGUAGUGUAUGAAUAAGCAUCGGCUAACUCCGUGCCAGCAGCCGCCGUAAUAC